rnacentral:rRNA from 1 species
UGGGGAAUAUUGCACAAUGGGCGCAAGCCUGAUACAGCCAUGCCGCGUGUGUGAAGAAGGCCUUCGGGUUGUAAAGCACUUUCAGCGAGGAGGAAGGUGGUGAGCUUAAUACGCUCAUCAAUUGACGUUACUCGCAGAAGAAGCACCGGCUAACUCCGUGCCAGCAGCCGCGGUAAUACGGAGGGUGCAAAGCGUUAAUCGGAAUUACUGGGCGUAAAGCGCACGCAGGCGGUUUGUUAAGUCAGAUGUGAAAUCCCCGGGCUCAACCUGGGAACUGCAUUUGAAACUGGCAAGCUAGAGUCUCGUAGAGGGGGGUAGAAUUCCAGGUGUAGCGUGAAAUGCGUAGAGAUCUGGAGGAAUACCGGUGGCGAAGGCGGCCCCCUGGACGAAGACUGACGCUCAGUGCGAAAGCGUGGGGAGCAAACAGGAUUAGAUACCCUGGUAGUCCAGCGCUGUAAAACGAUGUCGAUUUGGAGGUU